rnacentral:rRNA from 1 species
UGUGACAUACCACUUGUUGCCUCGGCGGAUCAGCCCGCUCCCGGUAAAACGGGACGGCCCGCCAGAGGACCCCUAAACUCUGUUUCUAUAUGUAACUUCUGAGUAAAACCAUAAAUAAAUCAAAACUUUCAACAACGGAUCUCUGGCAUCGAUGAAGAACGCAGCAAAAUGCGAUAAGUAAUGUGAAUUGCAGAAUUCAGUGAAUCAUCGAAUCUUUGAACGCACAUUGCGCCCGCCAGUAUUCUGGCGGGCAUGCCUGUUCGAGCGUCAUUUCAACCCUCAAGCACAGCUUGGUUCGCGUUAAUUCGCGUUCCUCAAAUUGAUUGGCGGUCACGUCGAGCUUCCAUAGCGUAGUAGUAAAACCCUCGUUACUGGUAAUCGUCGCGGCCACGCCGUUAAACCCCAACUUCUGAAUGUUGACCUCGGAUCAGGUAGGAAUACCCGCUGCAUAUC